rnacentral:pre_miRNA from 7 species
AUCUUUUCCUUGAGGAAAGGCCCCUCUCUCCGUGUUCACAGCGGACCUUGAUUUAAAUGUCCAUACAAUUAAGGCACGCGGUGAAUGCCAAGAACGAGGCUGACCAGCAUCGAGCCGAGG